AGACGAGAAAUGCAAAUGGAGCUGAUUGGCAGGAAGAGGUUUACCAAAAGUUACAAAUUAUGUCUUGCACGUAAUAUCCUAUGCAGGCACCAAAUACACAUGCAUGCCAAUUGCUUACCAUGGAUCCAGUGGGUAAUGUAUGGAAUGAUUUUGGUAGUGAUAGUUAAGGUUCUAAUUUUGAUGGAUUGAAAUCUGGUACUAAACAUGAUGAAUGUUUAGCGUAUGCAAGAUCGGAUUUACAUGGAA